GAUGAACGCUAGCGGCAGGCUUAAUACAUGCAAGUCGAGGGACAGCACAGGUAGCAAUACUGGGUGGUAACCGGCAAACGGGUGCGGAACACGUACACAACCUUCCUUUAAGAGGGGGAUAGCCCAGAGAGAUUUGGAUUAAUACCCCGUAAUAUAGUUGAAUGGCAUCAUUUGAUUAUUAUAGCUACGGCGCUUAAUGAUGGGUGUGCGGCUGAUUAGAUAGUUGGCGGGGUAACGGCCCACCAAGUCUACGAUCAGUAGCUGAUGUGAGAGCAUGAUAAGCCACACGGGCACUGAGACACGGGCCCGACUCCUACGGGAGGCAGCAGUAAGGAAUAUUGGUCAAUGGACGCAAGUCUGAACCAGCCAUGCCGCGUGAAGGAUUAAGGUCCUCUGGAUUGUAAACUUCUUUUAUUUGGGACGAAAAAGGGCCUUUCUAGGUCAACUGACGGUACCAGAUGAAUAAGCACCGGCUAACUCCGUGCCAGCCGCCGCAGUAAUAC
rnacentral:rRNA from 1 species